GUGCUCACUUUGGCAGCAUAUAUACUAAAAUUGGAACAAUACAGAGAAGAUUAACAUGGCCCCUGUGCAAGGAUGACACGCAAAUUCAUGAAGCAUUCCAUAUUUAA
rnacentral:snRNA from 1 species